rnacentral:rRNA from 1 species
AGAUUGAACGCUGGCGGCAGGCCUAACACAUGCAAGUCGAGCGGUAGAGAGGUGCUUGCAUCUCUUGAGAGCGGCGGACGGGUGAGUAAUGCCUAGGAAUCUGCCUAGUGGUGGGGGAUAACGUUCGGAAACGGACGCUAAUACCGCAUACGUCCUACGGGAGAAAGCGGGGGACCUUCGGGCCUCGCGCCAUUAGAUGAGCCUAGGUCGGAUUAGCUAGUUGGUGAGGUAAUGGCUCACCAAGGCGACGAUCCGUAACUGGUCUGAGAGGAUGAUCAGUCACACUGGAACUGAGACACGGUCCAGACUCCUACGGGAGGCAGCAGUGGGAAUAUUGGACAAUGGGCGAAAGCCUGAUCCAGCCAAUGCCGCGUGUGUGAAGAAGGUCUUCGGAUUGUAAAAGCUAACUUUAAGUUGGGAAGGUAAAGGGUUUAGUAAACCUAAUACGUUAGUACAACUUUGAACCGUUUAACGACAAGUAAUAAACGCACCGGACUAAACUUCGUGACCAGCAGA